rnacentral:rRNA from 1 species
UACAGAGGUCUCAAGCGUUGUUCGGAUUCAUUGGGCGUAAAGGGUGCGUAGGCGGCGCGGUAAGUCGGGUGUGAAAUCUCGGAGCUUAACUUGGGAACUGCCAUUGAUACUAUUGAUCUUGAAUACCGUGGAGGUCAGCGGAAUAUGUCAUGUAGCGGUGAAAUGCUUAGAUAUGACAUAGAACACCAAUUGCGAAGGCAGCUGGCUACACAAAUAUUGACACUGAGGCACGAAAGCGUGGGGAUCAAACAGG